UGCGUCGGGAGGCGGGGCCGAGGGGUCUGACGUCACAAGACCACGCCCCCGACGGUCGAGAUAUUUUGCGCGCCGCCCGCCAUCUUGUCCCAGUGUUUCGCUUGCUGUCUGCUGUGCUAAAGGGUCGUUUUAGUUCGUAGGCGGAAGGCAGCAUAUCGGGUCUUUGUCUGUGUUUGACUCCCUAGUUUGGUCCGAGACCUUCCGGCAUUUUCCCGGGGCAGCCAGCAGAAGCCGAAGCGGUCGUCCCCACCCCUCCCCUCUGUCCCCUGGCCCCGGAGGGACCGAGCUCGAGUCACGCCUCUCGGCGCUUCCCUUUUCCCUUCUCUGUUGUUGCGUCCGCAUCGAGUCCCCGGAAUCAGACGGUGCCCCAUAGAUGGCCAGCUUUCCCCCGAGGGUCAACGAGAAAGAGAUCGUGAGAGCACGUACUAUAGGUGAACUUUUAGCUCCAGCAGCUCCUUUUGACAAGAAAUGUGGUCGUGAAAACUGGACUGUUGCUUUUGCUCCAGAUGGUUCAUACUUUGCCUGGUCACAAGGAUAUCGCACAGUGAAGCUUGUUCCAUGGUCCCAGUGCCUUAAGAACUUUCUCUUGCAUGGCACCAAGAAUGUUACUAAUUCAAGCAGUUUAAGAUUGUCAAGACAAAACAGUGAUGGUGCUCAGAAAAAUAAGCUUCGUGAGCAUAUUAUAGACUGUGGAGAUAUAGUUUGGAGUCUUGCUUUCGGGUCUUCAGUUCCAGAAAAACAGAGCCGCUGUGUAAAUAUAGAAUGGCAUCGAUUCAGAUUUGGACAGGAUCAGCUACUCCUUGCCACAGGAUUAAACAAUGGUCGCAUCAAAAUAUGGGAUGUUUAUACAGGAAAACUCCUCCUUAAUUUGGUGGACCAUACUGAAGUGGUGAGAGAUUUAACUUUUGCUCCAGAUGGAAGCUUGAUCCUAGUGUCAGCUUCAAGAGACAAAACCCUCAGAGUGUGGGACCUGAAAGAUGAUGGAAACAUGAUGAAAGUACUGAGGGGGCAUCAGAACUGGGUGCACAGCUGCGCGUUCUCUCCUGACUCUUCUAUGCUGUGUUCAGUUGGAGCCAAUAAAGCAGUGGUGGCAGCAAUAUUGGUGUGAUUGAGGUUAUGCUGGCACCACUCGCACACAGGCGCACAAUGGUGUUAGCUGGGCAGAAAGAGUGGCAUCUCUGGCUACCGGGCUGGGGGCGACCUUUACCAUAGGAUGAAGUAACCUUGCAUUCGGCUGCAAGGUGUACUGUACGUACACAGGUGCUGGUCGAUGUCCACUUUCUGCUUUUCUUUCUUUCUUUUUUUUCUUUUUAAAAAUAAUUUUCCCCAGAGUAAAAUCCAAUGACUCCUCCGAGUAAGUUGAUUUUCCAUUUUGAUGAAAUUGGGAGUCUGACAAGUGAAACCAAUUUAAUGUAAAGUAAUUGGCUUCCAAAUGGUUUCUCUGUACUGUUUUUUGGAAUCCUUUAAGAUGCUAGAGAUGCUUUAAAUCUUUGAUCCAAUUUAAAAUUUGUACUUAUUUUCCUUUGGAAGUAAUAUAUUGUGUCUGUGCAGAAAAAAGUAGCAAAAAGGAUUGCUUUACUCCAAGAGGAGAGAUCGUUUUAUUAGGAUUGUUGGAAAUCUCCAAGUUUAUUAAUAUUGUAACAGACUAAAGUAAACAUUCAAAUCCUAUUUAGAACUAUUCUGCACAAUCUAACUACUGAUGUCUAGAAUCUCAAACUGUAUGUGAACUUACUCUUAAAUAAUUUAACUGUUUGAUACUGAAAGUGACUAAUGAUUAUAGUCAGUUUGGGAAAAGUAAGAUUGGUAAAUGUUGAUUCACAGAAAUGUAAUUGUAUUAUUUUUGUAAAAUAGCAUUGUCAUAUUGUAAUGUGGUUUAACAUCCUUGUUGUUUGCCAAAGAAAUUUCAUUUGGCUAUGAAAAUUCUCUUUGCUUGCAGUAUCUGUUUCUCUUCCUAGGCUCACGUUGGUGACCCAAGCCUUUUGUAAACAAGUGAUUAUCUCAAAGGGAGAUGCCAAUGGAGUAACAAUUUGUUAACCUUACGUUUUCUGUCUGUAUAUAUUUUUCUUAAAUUUGGUAGUUUCUGGAAAAAAGAAGGGGUGUGUAGAACUUAACUCUAUUUCUGUAUAUUUUUGUUAAUUAGUUUUUGGAAUAAAUGGAUUUCAGUAUAACUUUGUGGUUAAAUUGCAAUUCCUUUAUUUUAUGUUUAGGCUUUUUUAAAAUUAACAUUUAACAGAAACAUUUGAAAUAGAAUUUGCAUGUCUGUUUUAAUUAACUUUAAGACUGAUUUUAAUCUGACUAUGACACUGAGCAUAUUCUUUUAAUUACUCAUAAUUUACAAUGUUUAAUUUAAUGUAAUCUUAAUUAAAUUUAGCAGUUUUAGUUUAAGAUGUGCCAUUUUCUUCUCUGUAUUUCCGAAUGAAGCUAUAACAUCUGCCUAUUUAUUGCAGGUCUUCCUUUGGAAUAUGGAUAAAUACACCAUGAUACGGAAACUAGAAGGACACCAUCAUGAUGUUGUAGCUUGUGACUUUUCUCCUGAUGGAGCAUUACUGGCUACUGCAUCCUAUGAUACUCGAGUGUAUAUCUGGGAUCCACAUAAUGGAGACAUUCUAAUGGAAUUUGGGCACCUGUUUCCCCCACCUACUCCGAUAUUUGCUGGAGGAGCAAAUGAUCGAUGGGUACGAUCUGUAUCUUUUAGUCAUGAUGGACUCCAUAUUGCAAGCCUUGCUGAUGAUAAAAUGGUGAGGUUCUGGCGGAUUGAUGAGGAUUAUCCAGUACAAGUUGCACCUUUGAGCAAUGGUCUUUGUUGUGCCUUUUCUACUGAUGGCAGUGUUUUAGCUGCUGGGACACAGGAUGGAAGUGUAUAUUUUUGGGCCAGUCCAAGGCAAGUUCCUAGCCUUCAACAUUUAUGCCGCAUGUCAAUCCGGAGAGUAAUGUCCACCCAAGAAGUCGAGGACCUGCCAGUUCCUUCCAAAGUGUUGGAAUUUCUCUCUUACCGUUUUUAGAAGAUGCUGCCUUCCCCAAUGUGGGGACUGACAGGAUACACUUCACAGAAACCCCACGCUUUACUGACUUCACGUAUCUGUUUUUAAAGGGUUAGAAAAUUUAUUUAAUUUGAUACAUUCUUGUACUUCAUUUUCAUUAGUCAAGCUUUUAGAAUAUUAUUUAUGUACCAUACAAGAAAUAUUUCUAAACAUAUCAACUGUAAUUUUUUAAAGAUUAACUGUGAAAACAUAUAUAACAUGUAUAUAUUUAGGCAUUAGCUGCUAUGUGUUGAAUGGACCCUUCUUUUUUUAAUUUUUAGUUUUGACUAUAUGUAAUGCUUCAGUACAGCCACAAUAUAUAUCUGUGUUGUAAAAGUGGAAGGAAUUUUUUUUAAAAAUUAGAUGAUAAAUAAUUGAUUUACAAAAGCUGAAUUGCCUCAAUACAAAAUGAAUUUGGUCAGGGGGGAGGGUGACUAACCUGUAAGUGAGACUAUUUUUAUAUAGGGAAAGGAUUUUAUUUUCCUUAGGCAUGGUGUCUGACAGGUGGAGUUCAAAUGUGACAUUAUUUAAAACAUAAAUAAAUUAAGGAAAAGGGUGUCUUCUCCUCACCCCUCCAUAUUGCUGUGGGCCUUAAUUUUGGAAAGCAGCUUAUAUCUUACCCUGUUAAUAUAAAGUAUUACACAUUUUUGCCAGUUUGAAAGAUACAUCUACUGUACUAUUGCUAAAUAUUUUGUUUAUAUUAAGGGGCAACUAUUUUAAGACCAUGUUUUUUCUUGUUUUGUUUUAACACAUAUUUUGUGUUUAUAAAAUAUGAUAUUGGUGGGCUGGCGAAGUGGCUCAAGUGUUAAGAGCGCCUGCUAUUAUUUUAAAAAAGGGGGGGGGGCCUGCAUAGCAAGUGUGAGGCCCUGAGUUCAAACCCCAGUGCCACCAUAAAAAAGAUAUUAGUGACUUGCCAAAGAGAAGCAAUGUAGCUUAUCUACUUUUGCCUUCUGUUAUUUAUCUUAUCUGCAGUUAUCAAGGAUGUAUAUAUUUUUGUUGAGUUUUUUAAUUAAAGACUUGUAAAAAGAGUGUAUUGGAUUUAUUUUAUUUAUUUAUUUAAUUUCUUUUGUGAGACUGGUGUCUGAACUCCCACUUGCAAAACAUGUACUCCACUGCUUGCCUCCAGUUUGUUUUUCUGUGGCUAUUUAAGAGAUGGCGGUCUCAUGACCAGGUGGCCUUGAACCACAAUCCUGUCAGUCUCUCAGUCUCCCAAAUUGCUGGGAAUAUAGGUAUGGGCCACCAGUGCCCGGCUUGGGAAUGCUUUGUAAGUAAGUGUGGUGGAGGAUGUGGGGCUCUUUGUCUCUCUUCAUUGUAAGAUUGAUGGAGGGCCACAAGCAACAAUGACAAAGAAGCAGUGCAAGAGUAGAACAUUGCUUUUGUUCUGAGGCAGCUGUUGUAGUAAAGCUUAUUAAUUAAAAGCCCCUAAAACUGUAGAACAGAAGAGAAUAACUACUAAGCAAAAUAAAAAUAUGGUCUUUUAGGGGAACUAGCAGGUUUAUGGUACACCUUUG